rnacentral:rRNA from 1 species
UGGGAAUUUGGACAAUGGCGCAAGCCUGAUCCAGCCAUGCCGCGUGCGGGAAGAAGGCCUUCGGGUUGUAAACCGCUUUUGUCAGGGAAGAAAUCUUCUGAGUUAAUACCUCGGGAGGAUGACGGUACCUGAAGAAUAAGCACCGGCUAACUACGUGCCAGCAGCCGCGGUAAUACGUAGGGUGCAAGCGUUAAUCGGAAUUACUGGGCGUAAAGCGUGCGCAGGCGGUUUUGUAAGACAGAGGUGAAAUCCCCGGCUCAACCUGGGAACUGCCUUUGUGACUGCAAGGCUUGAGUGCGGCAGAGGGGGAUGGAAUUCCGCGUGUAGCAGUGAAAUGCGUAGAUAUGCGGAGGAACACCGUGG